CACAGGGAGGUGGCGAUAGAGGGCGCGAAGGAAGAGCCCCGCGAACUCCCGUCCACCCCGCCAGCGCGACAUGGCCCAGACCCGGAGCUCGUUCUCCACGAUGACCCCAGCGGGGUACAUCCUUUCCGGCCUGGUGCCGGGCGCUCGGAACGUCGGGCCGUGGAACUCCAUGCCGGGGCUUGCGGUUGCUUGGAUGUGAGGAGGGCAAGGAGGAAGAUGAAGAUGUGCACGGGGCAGAGGAGGGUUAAAUAGCA
rnacentral:lncRNA from 1 species